GUGGCUGCCUUGCACGCUGCCCUCCGAAGGUAGAGGUCUCAGGUUCGAAUCCUGAUGGGUGCGCCA
rnacentral:tRNA from 1 species